GAAAAGAUAGUUAAUUAUAAUAUUGGUUUGUCAUUCCAAAGUUAGCAAAGUGUUGCUUUUUUUCA
rnacentral:tRNA from 2 species